rnacentral:rRNA from 1 species
AACGAACGCUGGCGGCAUGCCUAACACAUGCAAGUCGAACGAGAUCUUCGGGUCUAGUGGCACACGGGUGCGUAACGCGUGGGAAUCUGCCCUUUGGUUCGGAAUAACAGUUGGAAACGACUGCUAAUACCGGAUGAUGACGUAAGACCAAAGAUUUAUCGCCAGAGGAUGAGCCCGCGUAGGAUUAGCAAGUUGGUGUGGUAAAGGAGCACCAAGGCGACGGUCCUUAGCUGGUCUGAGAGGAUGAUCAGCCACACUGGGACUGAGACACGGCACAGAAUCCUACGGGAGGGAGCAGUGGGGAAUAUUGGAGAAUGGGGGAAAGCAUGCUCCAGUAGUGCCGGGUGAGUGAUGAAGGCCUUAGGGUUGUAAAGCUCUUUUACCCGGGAUGAUAAUGACAGUACCGGGAGAAUAAGCACCGGCUAACUCCGUGCCAGCCGCCGCCGUAA